AUUGAACGCUGGCGGCAGGCUUAACACAUGCAAGUCGAGCGGAGAUGAGGUGCUUGCACCUUAUCUUAGCGGCGGACGGGUGAGUAAUGCUUAGGAAUCUGCCAUUUAGUGGGGGACAACAUUCCGAAAGGAAUGCUAAUACCGCAUACGUCCUACGGGAGAAAGCAGGGGAUCUUCGGACCUUGCGCUAAAUGAUGAGCCUAAGUCGGAUUAGCUAGUUGGUGGGGUAAAGGCCUACCAAGGCGACGAUCUGUAGCGGGUCUGAGAGGAUGAUCCGCCACACUGGGACUGAGACACGGCCCAGACUCCUACGGGAGGCAGCAGUGGGGAAUAUUGGACAAUGGGGGGAACCCUGAUCCAGCCAUGCCGCGUGUGUGAAGAAGGCCUUAGGGUUGUAAAGCACGUUAAGCGAGGAGGAGGCUACUGAGACUAAUACUCUUGGAUAGUGGACGUUACUCGCAGAAUAAGCACCGGCUAACUCUGUG
rnacentral:rRNA from 1 species